UGGGGGGGGGGCGGCGGGAGGGAAUUCUUCCCCAAAGGGCGAAAACCCCUGAUGGAACCACCGCCGCCUUUUUGAAGAAGGCUUUUGGGUUCAUAAAGCCCUUUUGUAUGGGAAGAACAGCUAGAAUAGGAAAUGAUUUUAGUUUGACGGUACCAUACCAGAAAGGGACGGCUAAAUACGUGCCAGCAGCCGCGGUAAUACGUAUGUCCCGAGCGUUAUCCGGAUUUAUUGGGCGUAAAGCGAGCGCAGACGGUUUAUUAAGUCUGAUGUGAAAGCCCGGAGCUCAACUCCGGAAUGGCAUUGGAAACUGGUUAACUUGAGUGCAGUAGAGGUAAGUGGAACUCCAUGUGUAGCGGUGGAAUGCGUAGAUAUAUGGAAGAACACCAGUGGCGAAGGCGGCUUACUGGACUGCAACUGACGUUGAGGCUCGAAAGUGUGGGUAGCAAACAGGAUUAGAUACCCUGGUAGUCCACACCGUAAACGAUGAACACUAGGUGUUAGGAGGUUUCCGCCUCUUAGUGCCGAAGCUAACGCAUUAAGUGUUCCGCCUGGGGAGUACGACCGCAAGGUUGAAACUCAAAGGAAUUGACGGGGACCCGCACAAGCGGUGGAGCAUGUGGUUUAAUUCGAAGCAACGCGAAGAACCUUACCAGGUCUUGACAUCCUUUGAAGCUUUUAGAGAUAGAAGUGUUCUCUUCGGAGACAAAGUGACAGGUGGUGCAUGGUCGUCGUCAGCUCGUGUCGUGAGAUGUUGGGUUAAGUCCCGCAACGAGCGCAACCCUUAUUGUUAGUUGCCAGCAUUCAGAUGGGCACUCUAGCGAGACUGCCGGUGACAAACCGGAGGAAGGCGGGGACGACGUCAGAUCAUCAUGCCCCUUAUGACCUGGGCUACACACGUGCUACAAUGGCGUAUACAACGAGUUGCCAGCCCGCGAGGGUGAGCUAAUCUCUUAAAGUACGUCUCAGUUCGGAUUGUAGUCUGCAACUCGACUACAUGAAGUCGGAAUCGCUAGUAAUCGCGGAUCAGCACGCCGCGGUGAAUACGUUCCCGGGUCUUGUACACACCGCCCGUCACACCAUGGGAGUUUGUAAUGCCCAAAGCCGGUGGCCUAACCUUUAGGAAGGAGCCGUCUAAGCAGACAGAGCUGAG
rnacentral:rRNA from 1 species